GACGAACCGUGCGAACGUUAUUCGGAAUCACUGGGCUUAAAGCGCGUGUAGGCGGGACGGCACGUCGGUCGCUGAAAGCCCCGGGCUCAACCUGGGAAUGGCAAUGGAUACUGGCAGGCUAGAGUGCGGUAGAGGGUAGUGGAAUUCCCGGUGUAGCGGUGAAAUGCGUAGAGAUCGGGAGGAACACCAGUGGCGAAGGCGGCUACCUGGACCAGCACUGACACUGAGGCACGAAAGCGUGGGGAGCAAACAGG
rnacentral:rRNA from 1 species